rnacentral:antisense_RNA from 1 species
CUUCCUUGAGCUUAUCCUUGAUCUCUUGAGCAUCAGCAUCUGGAUUGCUGCUGAGGAAGUCCUCUGCAUCCUUGAGUGCUUCCUUGAUCUUCUCCUUAUCUUCCUCCUCGAGUUUCUGAGCGAGUUUGUCCUUAUCUUCAAUGCUCAUUCUCAUUGAGUGGACAUAACUAUCGAGUGCGUUCUUGGCAUCGACCUUUUCACGAACAAGCUUGUCUUCUUCGGCAAAUUGCUCAGCCUCCUUAAUCAUACGCUCUAUGUCUUCCUGUGAGAGUCUACCCUUAUCAUUUGUGAUAGUAAUCUUCUCAGAUUUACCAGUACCCUUAUCCUUUGCACUAACUUGUAAAAUACCAUCAGUAUCAAUUUCAAAAGUA